rnacentral:rRNA from 1 species
UACGUAGGGGGCAAGCGUUGUCCGGAAUUAUUGGGCGUAAAGAGCGCGUAGGCGGUCCGAUAAGUCGGCUGUGAAAGUCAAGGGCUCAACCCUUGAACGCCGGCCGAUACUGUCGGACUAGAGUCCGGAAGAGGCGAGUGGAAUUCCCGGUGUAGCGGUGAAAUGCGCAGAUAUCAGGAAGAACACCCGUGGCGAAAGCGGCUCUCUGGAACGGUACUGACGCUGAGACGCGAAAGCGUGGGGAGCGAACAGG